CUGCGGGGUGGCGCACGGCGACGCGGCGGACCCGGUGACCGACCGGGUGCUGGUGGCCGUGUUCGCCUCGCCGGUCGCCGCGGCCCUGCUGC
rnacentral:tRNA from 1 species